rnacentral:rRNA from 1 species
UACGAAGGGGGCGAGCGUUGUUCGGAAUUACUGGGCGUAAAGGGCGCGCAGGCGGCUUCUCAAGUCAGGGGUGAAAGCCCAGAGCUCAACUCUGGAAUUGCCUUUGAGACUGAGUGGCUUGAGUACGAGAGAGGUGAGUGGAAUUCCCAGUGUAGAGGUGAAAUUCGUAGAUAUUGGGAAGAACACCGGUGGCGAAGGCGGCUCACUGGCUCGUAACUGACGCUCAUGCACGACAGCGUGGGGAUCAAACAGG